UAUUGAUUGGUGCUUGCAUCAUGAUUUACAUUUGAGUGAGUGGCGAACUGGUGAGUAACACGUGGGAAACCUGCCCAGAAGCGGGGGAUAACACCUGGAAACAGAUGCUAAUACCGCAUAACAACUUGGACCGCAUGGUCCGAGCUUGAAAGAUGGCUUCGGCUAUCACUUUUGGAUGGUCCCGCGGCGUAUUAGCUAGAUGGUGGGGUAACGGCUCACCAUGGCAAUGAUACGUAGCCGACCUGAGAGGGUAAUCGGCCACAUUGGGACUGAGACACGGCCCAAACUCCUACGGGAGGCAGCAGUAGGGAAUCUUCCACAAUGGACGAAAGUCUGAUGGAGCAACGCCGCGUGAGUGAAGAAGGGUUUCGGCUCGUAAAACUCUGUUGUUAAAGAAGAACAUAUCUGAGAGUAACUGUUCAGGUAUUGACGGUAUUUAACCAGAAAGCCACGGCUAACUACGUGCCAGCAGCCGCGGUAAUACGUAGGUGGCAAGCGUUGUCCGGAUUUAUUGGGCGUAAAGCGAGCGCAGGCGGUUUUUUAAGUCUGAUGUGAAAGCCUUCGGCUCAACCGAAGAAGUGCAUCGGAAACUGGGAAACUUGAGUGCAGAAGAGGACAGUGGAACUCCAUGUGUAGCGGUGAAAUGCGUAGAUAUAUGGAAGAACACCAGUGGCGAAGGCGGCUGUCUGGUCUGUAACUGACGCUGAGGCUCGAAAGUAUGGGUAGCAAACAGGAUUAGAUACCCUGGUAGUCCAUACCGUAAACGAUGAAUGCUAAGUGUUGGAGGGUUUCCGCCCUUCAGUGCUGCAGCUAACGCAUUAAGCAUUCCGCCUGGGGAGUACGGCCGCAAGGCUGAAACUCAAAGGAAUUGACGGGGGCCCGCACAAGCGGUGGAGCAUGUGGUUUAAUUCGAAGCUACGCGAAGAACCUUACCAGGUCUUGACAUACUAUGCAAAUCUAAGAGAUUAGACGUUCCCUUCGGGGACAUGGAUACAGGUGGUGCAUGGUUGUCGUCAGCUCGUGUCGUGAGAUGUUGGGUUAAGUCCCGCAACGAGCGCAACCCUUAUUAUCAGUUGCCAGCAUUAAGUUGGGCACUCUGGUGAGACUGCCGGUGACAAACCGGAGGAAGGUGGGGAUGACGUCAAAUCAUCAUGCCCCUUAUGACCUGGGCUACACACGUGCUACAAUGGAUGGUACAACGAGUUGCGAACUCGCGAGAGUAAGCUAAUCUCUUAAAGCCAUUCUCAGUUCGGAUUGUAGGCUGCAACUCGCCUACAUGAAGUCGGAAUCGCUAGUAAUCGCGGAUCAGCAUGCCGCGGUGAAUACGUUCCCGGGCCUUGUACACACCGCCCGUCACACCAUGAGAGUUUGUAACACCCAAAGUCGGUGGGGUAAC
rnacentral:rRNA from 1 species